UAAAAUGCGACUAAUGUCGUGCGGCAAUUUCAGUAUACGAAAGUUAUUUGCUGCUGCCGCACUUACGUCGUGGUAGUGGUGAUUGGUGUUGGAGGUCGCGUACGCGUCGGAGUAAAACUUGUGUGUUCAUGUUCGGUGUGAUAAGAAUUGCUUUAUAUUUGACGGAUUGCAGUGAUGAAUGAUAAAUAUUGAAAUAUGGAAUGCAACUUGGCUAUCAAUUACGGCCGGGGCAUAAAUGGAGUGUUCAAAAUACGGUUGGAAAAUAAGUGAAGGUGUAUCAGCUUAAGAGUGGAAAGUUGGAGUGAUGAAUUGAGUUGGGUGAAUGGUGAAAGUGUAAGAAAAGAAAUUAAAAAUAAAAUAAAAAACACAAAUUAAUAGGACCAAAACAUAGCGCAAGGUAAAUAUGAAAAAGAUGUUGCAUGCAGCAUAAGAAAACAAAAACGAAUUUUUCGCAUUUUGCAACAAAACGAACGAAGUAUUGAAGUAUACAAAAAAAAAAACAAAAAGAAAAAAACAUCAACCUGCUGUCAUGCCCAUACCUGCUCCUGUGCAGCUCACAUUUUUGUGCAAAAAUUGUGAUUGGUAAACAUCGAAUUAAUUAAUUCCGUUACUUCGUGCCAGUGUUGCAUACUGUGGUUCUCCAAUGCGGCAUAGCAAAUUUUUGGGCAGCAAACAAGUAAACAAACAUAGUUGAUUGACUAAUUGAUUGAUUGAUUGAUUCGCAAUACCGUUUUGAGAAUAGCUUUUCUAACCGCUCAUAUUUGACGAAUGAUACGAAUUGUAAGCGCGGACGAAAAUCGAAACAUCAAAUGUUGUUUUGCAACAACAAUUAAGUGUAGUGCAGUGAGUUGUGCGUUUGAAAUGUGACGAUGCCAGAAGUUGUUGGCAAGCUGUGUUCAAGGAAAGUGUACAAUUUGGUGCUGUAACUACACACAUACAUACAUAUGCACGAGAGAAAGUAAACAGAAAUUGGCUGCGUAGCUGACUUCAAGUAGUCUGUAGAAUUCUGUGGAUUUGGUGCACGCAAUGAAAGAACAACGAUCUUCUAAGGUGCUUAGAAAAACAAAAUAAUUGCCAAGAAUAGUAAUGGCCAAUAACUGCGAAGCAUAGCUUAACGGUCUUGUUAUGCAGCCACACAUACGCAGAUACAACUUUCUGCACCUUGUACAGCCAUAACUCCCUUAAAUUGUGUGGACAUAAAAAAAUCCCAUUAAAAUUAUGACUCGAACACAAUGAGCAGCCAACAGCAACAAGCAAGGUGAAGAAAGCAAUAAAAUGCCAAAUUAUUCUUUUUGCGAAUUUGAAAGCCACACAAAAGUUAUAUAUUGCGGUAGGUAUUAAUUGAAGUGCAAAUACUUUAACAUUGCAGUUUGGCGAAUUUUAUUGUACUGUUUUGCUGUGGAUCGCAAACGAAUGGGAAUAUAAAUGGCAGCGCUAAAAAUAGAACAAACAAAAUUAAAUUUGGUGGACAUCGAAAGUAUUG